GACGAACCGUCCAAACGUUAUUCGGUAUCACUGGGCUUAAAGAGUUCGUAGGCGGCUCCGUAGGUGAGGUGUGAAAUCCCUCGGCUCAACCGAGGAAUUGCGCUUCAAACCGUGGAGCUUGAGGGAGACAGGGGUAAGCGGAACAGAUGGUGGAGCGGUGAAAUGCGUUGAUAUCAUCUGGAACACCGGUGGCGAAGGCGGCUUACUGGGUCUUUUCUGACGCUGAGGAACGAAAGCUAGGGUAGCGAACGGG
rnacentral:rRNA from 1 species